AAAAGGAAGCGAUUCCGGCGGAGGAUGGGCAUGCGGCGCAUUAGCUAGUUGGCGGGGUAACGGCCCACCAAGGCGACGAUGCGUAGGGGUUCUGAGAGGAAGGUCCCCCACACUGGUACUGAGACACGGACCAGACUCCUACGGGAGGCAGCAGUGAGGAAUAUUGGUCAAUGGGCGGGAGCCUGAACCAGCCAAGUCGCGUGAGGGAAGACGGUCCUAUGGAUUGUAAACCUCUUUAGGCGGGGAGCAAUGCCGGGCACGCGUGCCCGGAGGGAGAGUACCCGCAGAAUAAGCAUCGGCUAACUCCGUGCCAGCAGCCGCGGUAAUACGGAGGAUGCGAGCGUUAUCCGGAUUUAUUGGGUUUAAAGGGUGCGUAGGCGGAUUUUUAAGUCAGCGGUAAAAUGUCCGGGCUCAACCCGGGCCGGCCGUUGAAACUGGGGAUCUUGAGUGGGCGAGAAGUAUGCGGAAUGCGUGGUGUAGCGGUGAAAUGCAUAGAUAUCACGCAGAACUCCGAUUGCGAAGGCAGCAUACCGGCGCCCGACUGACGCUGAGGCACGAAAGCGUGGGGAUCGAACAGGAUUAGAUACCCUGGUAGUCCACGCAGUAAACGA
rnacentral:rRNA from 1 species